GAUGAACGCUAGCGGCAGGCCUAACACAUGCAAGUCGAGGGGUAACGAUGGCUUCGGCCAGGCGACGACCGGCGGACGGGUGAGUAUCGCGUUUGUAACCUGCCUCUAACCGGAGAAUAGCCCGAAGAAAUUCGGAUUAAUGCUCCAUAUUACUAUAAGAUGGCAUCAUUUUAUAGUGAAAGCCCCGGCGGUUAGAGAUGGGCAUGCGUGACAUUAGUUUGUUGGUGAGGUAACGGCUCACCAAGACCACGAUGUCUAGGGGGUCUGAGAGGAUGGUCCCCCACACUGGUACUGAGACACGGACCAGACUCCUACGGGAGGCAGCAGUGAGGAAUAUUGGUCAAUGGGCGAAAGCCUGAACCAGCCAUGCCGCGUGAAGGAUGACAGCGCUACGCGUUGUAAACUUCUUUUGUACGGGAAGAAACACUUCUACUUGUAGAAGCUUGACGGUACCGUACGAAUAAGCAUCGGCUAACUCCGUGCCAGCAGCCGCGGUAAUACGGAGGAUGCAAGCGUUAUCCGGAUUUAUUGGGUUUAAAGGGUACGUAGGCGGGAAAUUAAGUCAGUGGUGAAAUCCUGCAGCUCAACUGUAGAACUGUCAUUGAUACUGGUUUCCUUGAAUGUAGUUGAGGUAGGCGGAAUGUGUAAUGUAGCGGUGAAAUGCUUAGAUAUUACACAGAACACCGAUUGCGAAGGCAGCUUACUAAACUACGAUUGACGCUGAGGUACGAAAGCGUGGGGAGCGAACAGGAUUAGAUACCCUGGUAGUCCACGCUGUAAAC
rnacentral:rRNA from 1 species